GACGAACGCUGGCGGCGUGCUUAACACAUGCAAGUCGAGCGGAAAGGCCACUUCGGUGGUACUCGAGCGGCGAACGGGUGAGUAACACGUGAGUAAUCUGCCCCUGGCUUUGGGAUAGCCACCGGAAACGGUGAUUAAUACCGGAUACGACCACUUCUCGCAUGGGAUGGUGGUGGAAAGUUUUUUCGGCCAGGGAUGUGCUCGCGGCCUAUCAGCUUGAUGGUGAGGUAAUGGCUCACCAUGGCUUCGACGGGUAGCCGGCCUGAGAGGGUGGCCGGUAAAACGGGGACUGAGACACGGCCCAGACUCCUACGGGAGGCAGCAGGGGGGAAUAUUGGACAAUGGGCGGAAGCCUGAUCCAGCAACGCCGCGUGAGGGAUGACGGCCUUCGGGUUGUAAACCUCUUUCAGCAGGGACGAAGCGCAAGUGACGGUACCUGCAGAAGAAGCACCGGCCAACUACGUGCCAACCGCCGCCGUAA
rnacentral:rRNA from 1 species